AUCCACAGCCAUAUCACCCUGCAGCCCAUUACCGGUUAUUUACUAAAGCUAAGCAGGGCUGAGUCUGGUCUAUACCUGGAUGCGAGACCACAUAGGGAAACUAGGUUGCUGUUGAAA
ensembl:rRNA 5S_rRNA 5S ribosomal RNA